CAGUAGCCGCGGUAAUACGUAGGUGGCAAGCGUUGUCCGGAAUUAUUGGGCGUAAAGCGCGCGCAGGCGGAUAGGUCAGUCUGUCUUAAAAGUUCGGGGCUUAACCCCGUGAUGGGAUGGAAACUGCCAAUCUAGAGUAUCGGAGAGGAAAGUGGAAUUCCUAGUGUAGCGGUGAAAUGCGUAGAUAUUAGGAAGAACACCAGUGGCGAAGGCGACUUUCUGGACGAAAACUGACGCUGAGGAGCGAAAGCGUGGGGAGCGAACAGGAUUAGAUACCCCCGUAGUCCCUGUCUCUUAUACA
rnacentral:rRNA from 1 species